rnacentral:lncRNA from 1 species
CCUCUAUACUUUGCUAACCUUACCCAGAAAGCAGACAGUAAAGUAGCAGUGAUAGGAAAGGAAAGGAGAUAAAAGGAGUAAACUAGAAACUUGUUCUCUGUGUUAUAAUAAAGAAUCAGAAUUAUAUAGUUCUCCCCAUUACAACUACCUAUCUCUAGUGCAUGGGAGGAUUAGGAAGCCUUCUUACACUGAGUCAGAUCAUCUAGCCCAAUAUUGUACACUCUGACUGGCAGCAGCUUUCUGGGAUGCCAAGCAGGGCCUAGCCCUACCCGGAUCUGCCUGAGACUGAACCUGAGAAACAUUCUCUAAAAGAAAGCUAUAGCCAUUUUCCAGUAUUGGUGCAGAGAUAAAUUAUCCAAUAGGAAGUCAAGUUAUUUGUAAUGGAGCAGGUCACUAUAUUGCAAGUCUUGAACAUAUGAAAUAUACUCAUGUAUGUGAGGUGAUCCAGCACAAAUUAAUCACUGAUCAUAUAGAACUGCUGCUGUUACAUGGAAGAGGACAUUUCAGUAAGCAACAUGUGGCAGCCAUACCAUGAGAAGUAACCCUAACUGCCGAAGCCUUUGCAUGUUUACUUAGAAGCAGGUACACCAUGCAGUUCCUUGCUUCAUAUCAAAGAAAGUGCUGUGGUAUGUAGCUGACAUCUUGUUCCUUCUGCUGUGGGCUAUGGUUCUGUUGUGUUCUCCAGGGUUCCCCCCAAUCACAGUUCCCCCAUGAGCCUUCCCUUCAUGCUCUCUUCUUUAUACUGAACACUGUCUUCUUACCUAUUAGGGACAUGCAGUAGCACCAACAUUUGGAU